rnacentral:rRNA from 1 species
CAGUAGCCGCGGUAAAACGAGGGGUGCAAGCGUUAUUCGGAUUGAUUGGGUGUAAAGGGUGUGCAGACGGCUUAUUAAGUCACUUGUUAAAUUCUUCGGCCUAACUGAAGGUCUGCAAGUGAUACUGAUGAGCUAGAGGGUGGGAGAGAGAAGUGGAAUUCCCGGAGUAGCGGUAAAAUGCGUAGAUCUCGAGAGGAACACCAAUGGCGAAGGCAGCUUCUUGGUCCAUUCCUGACGUUCAUACACGAAAGCGUGGGGAGCGAACAGGAUUAGAUACCCCCGUAGUCCCUGUCUCUUAUAC